GCAUCAAAUUUUGGUUUUUAAACUCCGAGUAGCGAUUACGUCGGCCGGUCGUAUUAUUUACGGCCUUGACACAAACCAAGCCUGUUGAACGUACUUAUUCAUAUUACACACAAUGACAGAUAAAUUUAAAACUGAAGAUGAUUCAUCGCGCAUGAGAAAAAUGAUUCAGAGACGGGCUGGGUUCGAUACGACCGUUUUACAUUUUAGGUGCCUAUUACUUUUUAACGGUUUGUAUUAUUUUUCCAAUGGAAAUCUGUACGAAAAAAAAAUUAUUACGCAAGAUGUCUUCACGAUUCAUGAAACGUAGAAUUCAAAGGAAAACAUUUAUUUUGCAUAAAAAGCAUAUUUUACGGUAUAGAGAAUAUUCAAUACGUUAAGGAAUAUUUGAGAUUCUGAAAACAUUUUAUG